rnacentral:rRNA from 1 species
AGAAUCAACGCUGGCGGCGUGCCUAACACAUGCAAGUCGAACGAGAAAGUGGAGCAAUCCACUAGUAAAGUGGCGCACGGGUGAGUAACACGUGACUAACCUACCUUUUAGUGGGGGAUAACCUAGGGAAACCUGGGCUAAUACCGCAUAAUACCUACGGGUCAAAGCAGCAAUGCGCUGAAAGAGGGGGUCGCGGUCGAUUAGUUAGUUGGCAGGGUAAUGGCCUACCAAGACUGUGAUCGAUAUCCGGCCUGAGAGGGCGCACGGACACACUGGAACUGAAACACGGUCCAGACUCCUACGGGAGGCAGCAGUGGGGAAUUUUGCGCAAUGGGGGAAACCCUGACGCAGCAACGCCGCGUGGAGGAUGAAGUCCCUUGGGACGUAAACUCCUUUCGAUCGGGACGAUAAUGACGGUACCGGAAGAAGAAGCCCCGGCUAACUUCGCGCCAGCAGCCGC